UAAUAUACGAAUAAUAUAUAAAUUCAAAGAUAUAAAUUUCUUAAAAAGUAUAAGAUUUCAUUUCAAAAAAAUUAUUUACAGCAAAAUAUUCUGCAACUGCUUUGACUUGUUCGUAAUCAUCUGCCCUUGCCAAUGCAGCUAAUCCAUCAGGAUUCAAUUUUCCACAACGGGGAUACAAUUUUGCUCUAUCAUCUUUACCUAAUUCAGUUCCAAAUGAAUUGAUAGUUAUUAUAAUAGCUCGCCUAUCAGCUUCAAACUCAAGUAUUUCACACAUGGUAUCUGCAGUUGUUCCUCCAAUAUCUUUACAAAAUUUAUAAAAUGCUUCUAAAUAAGCUUUGUAUAAUGUAUUUCUAAUUAUCUCAAUAUUCAUUUCAUCCAAAUCUUGUUCAGAAAUGCAAUCCACAAAAAAAGGUGCUACAAAUUUAUUGAAUAUAUAUAAU